CAAGUAGGUGAACCCUGUAUUUUAAUCUGAACUUAUGACCCCUUCUCCAAACCAGUGCCAUCUUCUUCCCAUAGCAUUAGGAAUGACACGAUUGCUAAUCUGUGGGUAUAUCUUUGGUCCAUAUAUUUUUGUGCAUGUGUGUGUGUGUGUGUGUGUGUGUGU